AAAAACACAAGGCCUACAAAGAAACAGGCAAGUAUGGCUCAUUCAAAGGAAAAAAAUAAUUCAACAGAAACUGUCCCUAAAGAAGUCCAAACA